rnacentral:lncRNA from 1 species
UUGCCUUCUGUAAUGUAAUGUUUCCAAGCAGGCUUCUAAAGACAAUGUUAAUUUAUCUGCGAGCACGUACUGGGUACCUGGUAAAGUUUCUAAUAAGUACCUGAACUAUGGAGCUGGUAUAAGUGAGGUGUGCCAAAAUUCUCAAGACUAAUUUGCAACAGCGGAGUUAAAUCAUGUUUGUAUGUCUUAUAGGUGAUACUCUUUCUAUUCGAAUCUUCUGAAAGUGCAGGUGGAGAUUGAUCUUCUUACAGGAGCAAUUACUUUACUAAGGGGUGAUCUUGUGUACGACUGUGGGAAGAGCAUGAACCCUGCUGUGGACUUAGGACAGGUUUGCCAUUGAUCCUUUCCUGCUUCCUAUCUUAACCAAUUUUAAUUCUUAAUGUAGUUCAUUGAUUUAUAGACCAUAAGUUUGGACUGGAUGAGGACUAUAAUUAAAUACACGCAAAAUAUGAAGCAGAUUUUCUGUUCAUUGUUUGAUGUAGAUUAGAGAGUUAACUGACAUGCUAACAAUGAGAUGCAACUCACCGAUAGAACUAACAUUGAGCUAUUUCAGCAUUUCCCUUGUCAAGAGUUUGUUGUGCUCCAUACUUAUCUUUUUGAACCUAUGUUCAAAAUAGCGGGAUUUAGCGUCUGAGCAUUGCUGGCGCUAGGCUUUCACGUUUCUAGCACUAGAAUCUUUCAGCCGCUAAUAACUGCUAAUAGCGCGUUAAAUCCGCUAAACUGACCUCUAUUUAGCGCCGCUAUUGGGCCAAAUCAGCUCGUGCGAACUCCCUUAGCCCAAAAUCGCAAGCAUCCAGUCUAUCAUGAGGCUGUAUAGAGCCGGCGGCGAGUAACCCUAUCCAUUCCUCUCUAAAUGUCGCGAAGAAAAACGCUAGUGGCAAUGGCGCCACUGCGUCUGGCGGCGUCGACGGCUACAACCUGGCAUGCUAGCUUGAGAGCAAGGGCAGAGGACCGGGGCAGAUGACCAUGAACGACGGUAGUUGCUAGCUUCUUUCUUCUCCAGCUGCAUGAUUGGCUUUCGAGUUCCGUUUGUUCUCUGUUCUUUACUUUUUUUAAUACUUAAAUUGUAAUGUCUGGAUAUGUACGAACUAUGAAGCUCUGAUGUGUUAGUAAGACUUACUAUCUAUCACUAGUUAGAUAUUAGAUGGUAAUUGGUAUUUGUAAUGUCUUUGUCUUCUAUGUUUAUUAUGUGUAAAGUUACCUAAUGCUUAUAUAUUUCUUUGCUCAACCGCUAAAUGACUUAGCCUACUAUAGCCUUUCUUAGCUUUUGAGAAAGCCAGCCGCUAAGAGGCUUAGCCCGCUAUUUAAAACUUUGUUUUGAACAUAUAAAGCCAAAGGACUUUAGCCAGGUGGUUAGAGCUUUCCUGUGGCACACCCCUGAGUUCGACUCCUCAUGGGAGCGAAUUUUAGGCUAGGGGUAAAAAAAAUCCCCUCGCUGUGCCACCCUGUGUGGGACAGCCCGGCCUGUGGCAACAGUGGUGGCUCAACCUGGGGGUUGUGGACUUGUGGCAGUGGUCGCUGGUCCAGGCUACCGUCUGCUUCACGGGUGAGGCUGGGGUACCAAGACUUUCUUCUUAGUAUAAAAACUGUGGGGCAGUCUUUCCCCACCGGCUGAGUUAUUUUUUAAAACAUAUAAGUACAACUAAGUACAGGCAAAGGGUUUUGCAACAUAUCUAGUGCCUCAUUGGGCUCGUGUACAUUAAUUUGAUGGCACCAUAUCUUAUCCAUGGAAUUUAUCUUGCAGAUUGAAGGUUCCUUUAUAAAGGGAAUUGGGUUUUUCGUAUAUGAAGAGUAUCUUACAAACAGUGAUGGCCUCAUGAUUAGCAACAGCACAUGGGACUACAAGAUCCCAACUGUCGACAUAAUCCCAAAACAGUUCAAUGCUGAGGUGCUGAACACUGGAUACAAUAAGAACCGUGUGCUUUCUUCCAAAGGUAGUCACUUUAGUUAUUUCGUCAUUGCAGUAUAUAUUGAAGUAGGCUUGGUACAUACCAAUCAAUUUGUACUGUUUCUGCCAGCUGCUGGUGAACCUGCCUUGGUUCUUGCCUCAUCCGUUCAUUGUGCACUGAGAGAAGCUAUCCGAGCAGCGAGAAUGGAGUUUGCAAACAGCACUGUAUCUGGACGCUCACCGCUGGAAUUCAAGAUGGAUGUCCCUGCACCAAUGACGCUGGUGAAACAACUAUGUGGUUUAGAUAUUGUGGAGAAGUACCUAGAAAGUCUAUCUACCUAGAAAGGAGUGGUAUCAUCUUUGUUGUUGUAGUUUGCAAUAAAACAGAAAGGAGGAAGGAGGAUUUCCAUUUCCCUCAAUGGAAAUAGGGUUUCCUCGUGUGGAAAGGAAGGAGGGAGGUGUUAAAUUAGCACAAUAUUUGAAUAAUGCUUUCAACCAUCUGUAUUCAUAUGACUCUUAAGACCAACCACCUUUCUCUCAUUGACAUGAACAUUGGGUUGUAUAUCAGAUGCAUAACCAGCAGGAAACUUUACCACUUUUAGCACUUGACAAAAUAACUUUUUCUCAUCAGGACACACUGAAUAUGGUGCAGGUGGUAAAUACAAUUGGUCUUCAAGUUCAACAGGGUGGAGAUCAUUUCUAAUACCUAGAGUUUGAAGGUCUAAGCGAGAAUUCAGAUUAUCCUUAGAUUUCCCAUCAGUACCCAAGAAUGUAUUGACAAAUUUCUCAUACACAUUCUUCCCUAUAUGCAUGACAUCAAAAUUAUCCCGCAGGCAACAUCAAAUCUUUCCAAUAUGUUUGAACCAAAUAGAUCUCCUUUUGAAAAUGACUAAUGGCUCCCCUGCCUUGGGUCUCUUGGUUGCUGGUUUCUUUCUAGAUGGAUCCUUUCCAAAAAUUGCAACAAUAUCUUUAGAAUUUUUUCCCUAGAAAGAGGAGUAGGUGCUGUCCUAAGUUCAGUUGAACCAAAUUUAUGGACAUCAAGCCUAAAUGGGUGAUUCUCGGGCAGAAACCUACGAUGACCCAUAUAACAUGUCUUGCUGCCAUUACCUAGUCUAAGUGAACAUGUAUAGGAGUGGCAAUGUGGACAUGCUGCUUUACCGGAUGUUACACAUCCAAAUGCAUAGCCUAGACCAAGAAAAUCAGUAAUUGUCCACAAUACUGCUGCACGCAAUUGGAAGUGCUCACGCUUCGAAGCAUCAUAAGAAGUGGCUCAAAAUAAAUAUCCAUAUCACUACCAGGAGCAUGCCGUCUAGGAAUCAAUAGAGAAAGGAUGAAAUUUGAUUGCUUCAUACACAUUGAAGAUGGAAAAUUAUAGGGAAUACAUAUGCCAGGACAAAUGCUAUAGCUACUAUUUUGGGAUCUAUAUGGGUUGAAACCAUCAGUGGCAAAUGCAAGUCGGAUAUUGCGGCUAUCUACAACAAACUCUGGAUGAUUUACAUCAAAGUCUUUCCAUAGAGGAGAAUCUGCAGGAUGCCUAAGAACACCAUCUCUUGUUCUGUCCUCAUCAUGCCAUCUUGUUAGACUUGCUAUUUUAGAAGAUAGAAACAAUCUUUGGAGACUUUUCUUUAUUGGAAAGUAGCGAAGAACUUUCUUAGGGACCUUAUAUACAUGUUUUCCAUCUAGACUCUUCCUAACUGACUUCCACCUAGAAACCUUACAUUUUGGACAUGACUUGGAUUUUUCAUGCUUCUUUUGAUAGAGGAUGCAAUCAUUUUUCACAAGCAUGAAUGCUAAUGUAACCAAGUCCUAUGGAUUUGAUCAAUUUCUUAGCUUCAUAGAACUUUCUAGGCAAUGCAGAACCCUUAGGUAAUGCAUCAUUUAACAGAUCAAGUAGAAGGUCAAAACUUCUAUCGGUCCAUCCUCCAAGGAGUUUGAUGGGAAGUACCCUAAUUAGGAAGCACAAUUUUGUAUACUUCUUGCAAGUAGGGUACAACUCUUGACUAUUGGCUUCUUCCAACCUCUGAAGGGCAAGUAGCUCAUCACUAGGCUGAAAAGAACUGUUGUCUUCAAAAUCCCCUCUAUCAUCUAAACCACAAGCUAGAUCUCUAAGCAAUUCAGAUACAUCAUCUUCUUCAGUGGACUGUUCAAUAAGAUCAACAUCAACAUUAUUUCUAUGAUUCUCAUAAGAUGUACUUUCUUCUCCAUGUAAGUUCCAUGUUGUGUACCCUUGUAUAAACCCAUCGCAUAUUAGGUGCUCACGUACAUCACUAGCCUCUCUCCAAAAUGAGUUAAAUACAUUUUCUACAAGGACAUAAUAUCUUGUCCCCUACUGCUGAAUUUCUAAAUGCAAAAGCUAGAAAACCGUUCACCCCUUGUAAAUAUUUCUUUGUGUGCCUACAUGCAGGGAUGAAAACAGUACAGAUAUUUUGCGACCAUAUUCGAGACCAAAUUCGUUUAGGGGGUUCAGAUCUGUCCGUAUUCGAAUCCGAAUAAUCAACAUCUGAUACCGUAUCCGUAUCCGAAUACUUAAAUCGUAUAUUUAUGAUGUCGACAUCUAAUCCUAUCUUAUCCAAAAUGGUUGACAUUAUCCGUAUUCGAAUCCGAAUCCGACCAGAAAUAUAAAAACAAAUAUGGUAUCGGUGAUAUCCGUUCAUAUCCGAUCCGUUUUCAUCCGUACCUACAUGGAAUGUAUUAUGUAAAAUCUCAUGGUCACUACAAAACACUUUUUAAUAUUUGUAAAGUAGUUGUGUUGUACCUAUGCUCAUUAUUAAUCCAUGUUUUAUCCAUACACCUUUACAGGAAGGUCACACCACGCUCAGAUUAAAUCUUUUUGGAGAGAAUACAACCACACAACAUAAGCUUUAAAAAAAAGCAAUGUGACAUCAAGUGAAUGGAACUCGAGAAACAAAAUCAUACUGUUGCGCAAAGCUCCGACAUCCAACAACUAUGAAUAUUGUAGUUCUACAAAAAAAGUUCAAACUUCUUGCAGCUACAGGUUUUGCUCCUGCGAAGGUAGUAUGCAUCAGAUAUAAAUUAUCAAGAAAUAGAGACAACAGGGCAACAGGCCAACAGUCCUAGUGUUGUAGUGUUUGCUUAAUAAAUACAGAUUAGUUUCUUCCUAUAUGGCCAUCAAACUGAACAUAUACAGUCCCCUGCAUUCUCUUGUUCCUUACUAUUUAUGAUCAUUGUACAUGGUCACCAGUACAUACACCCUGUACCCUAUGUGUAACAGGUACCAAGAGAUAACAUAAAGAAUUUUGCUAAUACCAUGAAAAUACAGAAAUAAAAGGAAACUACAUAAGGAUGGAAGGAAUAUAAUAGAAUCACAAACAAGAAAGGAUAGGCUACAGACCUGAAGAACCCAGAUGCUCACAAGUGUCUCCAAGCAAAACAAGGCAAAUCUGAUCAGACAAAGUAAAGAUCUGAAAGGGAAAAUGAUUUAAUGUCAGAUUUUUCACUUUUUACCUUCUAAAUUGAAAUGAAAACACAUUCCAUAAUAAAAGCAACAAAUCGUGGCUUACAGUUUAACAAGAUGCAAACUCAAACCAAAUGAAGCAAAAAAGGACAUACCAUGGCUGUGCAGUGAAGACUCGAGGGAGGGGAUGGUCUGAAGGUGGCGUCCUGGUGCCGGCAGACGGCCUGGCAGGUCUGGGUGCCCUGUGCCCUGGUCGUGCGGCCGUUGAGGGGACUGGUUUGUGCCCCUUCGCCCUGCACCCCCUGCCGUGUCCGUUCGCCCCGCGCCUCGCACCCCCUGUUGUGCCCCUUCGCGGCUUCAGUGGAGGGGACUGGCUGAGGAGAUUGGCUAUGGAGGAGAUCGUCUGGCUGAGGGUGUAGAUCCUCGCUCGUGGAGGGAAUUGGCUGGGCUGCAGGACUGGGCUGGGCGGUGGUGGCUUAGGAGCUCAGUUGAGGAUAGGGUUUGGCCUGAGCCCUGCUAGUGGGAUUUGGGGGCAAUUUGUGUGGCGUGGGACUUGGUGAGAGGAGGGAAUCCACGGUGGAUUGGAGUUUUCGUGGAGGC